UGGGGGAUAUUGCGCAAUGGAGGAAACUCUGACGCAGCAACGCCGCGUGAAGGAAGAAGGUCUUCGGAUUGUAAACUUUUGUCUUCGGGGACGAUAAUGACGGUACCCGAGGAGGAAGCCACGGCUAACUACGUGCCAGCAGCCGCGGUAAUACGUAGGUGGCGAGCGUUGUCCGGAAUUACUGGGUGUAAAGGGUGCGUAGGCGGGUAGACAAGUCAGAUGUGAAAUCCCAUGGCUUAACUGUGGGACUGCAGUUGAAACUGUAUAUCUUGAGUGCAGGAGAGGUAAGCGGAAUUCCCAGUGUAGCGGUGAAAUGCGUAGAUAUUGGGAGGAACACCAGUGGCGAAGGCGGCUUACUGGACUGCAACUGACGCUGAUGCACGAAAGCGUGGGGA
rnacentral:rRNA from 1 species